CAGCUCCAAUAGCGUAUAUUAAAGUUGCUGCAGUUAAAAAGCUCGUAGUGAACUUCAUGAGCAGUAGGUAGCUUACUACCUGCUCUCUACCAGUCUUUCGACUGUUACUGUGAGAAAAUUUAGAGUGUUUCAAGCAGGCUAUUGCAGGAAUACAUUAGCAUGGAAUAACGAAUGUACCUACAAUUUUGGUUAAUUGUAGAUUACUAUUAAUAGGGACAGUUGGGGGCAUUAGUAUUUUAAUUGUCAGAGGUGAAAUUCUUGGAUUUGUUAAAGACUAACGUAUGCGAAAGCAUUUGCCAAGGAUGUUUUCAUUAAUCAAGAACGAAAGAUAGGGGAUCAAAGACGAUCAGAUACCGUCGUAGUCCUAUCUAUAAACUAUGCCGACUAGGGAUUGGAAUGAUCUGCAUCAUUUCAGUACCUUAUGAGAAAUCAAAGUCUUGGGUU
rnacentral:rRNA from 1 species